GAUGAACGCUGGCGGCGUGCUUAAUACAUGCAAGUCGAACGAUGGAGCGCAGCUUUCUGUGUGGUGUAGUUGCGAACGGGUGAGUAAGAAGUGAGUAACCUGCCUUUCUCUCUGGCAUAAGCAAGUGCAACUGGGUGUAAUUCCUAACAGGAGCUUUUAUCGCAUGGAGGGUUUUGGAAUGAUUUAUCGGCUUGGGCUGGACUCGCGGCCUAUCAGCGUUUUGGUGAGGUAAUGGCUAACUAAGGCGUCGACGGGUAGCCGGCCUGUGAGGGUGACCGGCCACACUGGGACUGAGACACGGACCAGACUCCUACCGGAGGCAGCAGUGGGGAAUAUUGCACAGUGGGCGCAAGCCAGAUGCAGCGACGCCGCGUGAGGGAUGCCGUCCUUCGAGUUGUAAACAUCUUUCAGUAGGGAAGAAGAGAAAGUGACGGUACCUGAACAAGAAGCCCCGGCUAACUACGUG
rnacentral:rRNA from 1 species